rnacentral:rRNA from 1 species
AGAGUUUGAUCCUGGCUCAGAUUGAACGCUGGCGGCAGGCCUAACACAUGCAAGUCGAGCGGUAGCACAGAGAGCUUGCUCUCGGGUGACGAGCGGCGGACGGGUGAGUAAUGUCUGGGAAACUGCCUGAUGGAGGGGGAUAACUACUGGAAACGGUAGCUAAUACCGCAUAAYGUCGCAAGACCAAAGUGGGGGACCUUCGGGCCUCAUGCCAUCAGAUGUGCCCAGAUGGGAUUAGCURGUAGGUGGGGUAAYGGCUCACCUAGGCGACGAUCCCUAGCUGGUCUGAGAGGAUGACCAGCCACACUGGAACUGAGACACGGUCCAGACUCCUACGGGAGGCAGCAGUGGGGAAUAUUGCACAAUGGGCGCAAGCCUGAUGCAGCCAUGCCGCGUGUGUGAAGAAGGCCUUCGGGUUGUAAAGCACUUUCAGCGGGGAGGAAGGCGUUAAGGUUAAUAACCUUGGCGAUUGACGUUACCCGCAGAAGAAGCACCGGCUAACUCCGUGCCAGCAGCCGCGGUAAU